CGGUCUCUGUUAGAACAUGAAAGGUGUCCAGCAGAUCCUUGGGGCCAUUCAGUUUUCAUCCCGUAUGUGUGGGGCUGUGCGUGCGAACUUACACACAUGCACAAUCACACACACACGUGCCCUGUCUCACCCCUACACACUCGCCGCUCAGACACAGCAAGUCAGUGUCAUUAAAAUGCCAGGCCAUGCCUCUGCCUCCUCGCAGAGCCCACGUGACCCUGCUGAUCAGAGGAGGCCACGAGUCCGGAGGGUGAGCCCUGGCAUCGGUCCACUGCUCUCCAUGGCAACCUGGCUGAUACCUGUUUAUAUAUUACAUCUAGUGAAUUCUGAAGUGUCUCACUGAUAGAACAUGGGCUGUAAGAAGAAAGAACACCCUUGCAAACCUGAUCAAAUCUCCCAUGCGGUGCUGAAGGCGCUGGUGGACGGAGGGAUUAACAUCCAGCAGGUCUGAAAGCCAGUGUCCCCACGGGCCCAACAGUUAACAAAGGAGUGAAGAGGGCUAGACCAGCCACCAGCCCGCACUUCCUGAGGGAUUCCCGCCCGCCAGACGCGGUCCAAGCAGGUUCCGGACGCUGACUCAGCCAGUCCCCCAGCCCUGUGGUGUGGUUUCGUUACCGUUUCCCUGUAGAAGGGGAAGGACCCGGGGAGGGACCCAGCAAGUGGCCUGUGGACAAUGCGGCACAGGAGUUUGGGUGGCAGAUCCUCGGUCUCCAUGUGGGGACGAUAGGGGGAGGGGUGGAAUCGGUGGCAAACUGCAGAGCACGAGCCUGUCUAAAGGGGCUGCUGCCCCGGCCUCGGUGCCACCGCAAGCU